rnacentral:rRNA from 1 species
UACGGAGAGUUUGAUCCUGGCUCAGGACGAACGCUGGCGGCGUGCUUAACACAUGCAAGUCGAACGGGAUUUAGUAGACAGAAACCUCGGUGGAAGAUUACUAAUGAGAGUGGCGAACGGGUGAGUAACGCGUGAGCAACCUGCCUAUGACAGUGGGAUAGCCUCGGGAAACCGGGAUUAAUACCGCAUAAAAUCGUAGAAACACAUGUUUCAACGGUCAAAGAUUUAUCGGUCAUAGAUGGGCUCGCGUCUGAUUAGCUAGUUGGUGAGAUAACAGCCCACCAAGGCGACGAUCAGUAGCCGGUCUGAGAGGAUGAACGGCCACAUUGGAACUGAGACACGGUCCAGACUCCUACGGGAGGCAGCAGUGGGGAAUAUUGCACAAUGGGCGGAAGCCUGAUGCAGCAACGCCGCGUGCGGGAUGACGGCCUUCGGGUUGUAAACCGCUUUCGCCUGUGACGAAGCGUGAGUGACGGUAAUGGGUAAAGAAGCACCGGCUAACUACGUGCCAGCAGCCGCGG